rnacentral:rRNA from 1 species
AUUGAACGCUGGCGGCAUGCUUUACACAUGCAAGUCGAACGGUAACAGGCCGCAAGGUGCUGACGAGUGGCGCACGGGUGAGUAAUGCAUCGGAACGUGCCCAGUCGUGGGGGAUAACUACUCGAAAGAGUAGCUAAUACCGCAUACGAUCUAUGGAUGAAAGCGGGGGACCGUAAGGCCUCGCGCGAUUUGAGCGGCCGAUGUCAGAUUAGGUAGUUGGUGGGGUAAAGGCUCACCAAGCCAACGAUCUGUAGCUGGUCUGAGAGGACAACCAGCCACACUGGGACUGAGACACGGCCCAGACUCCUACGGGAGGCAGCAGUGGGGAAUUUUGGACAAUGGGCGCAAGCCUGAUCCAGCAAUGCCGCGUGCAGGAAGAAGGCCUUCGGGUUGUAAACUGCUUUUGUACGGAACGAAACGGCUCUGGUUAAUACCCGGGGCUAAUGACGGUACCGUAAGAAUAAGCACCGGCUAACUACGUG